AAUUGACGGGGGCCCGCACAAGCGGUGGAGCAUGUGGUUUAAUUCGACGCAACGCGAAGAACCUUACCUGGGCUAGACAACGGUGGACCUCCCCAGAGAUGGGGAUUUCCCUUCGGGGACUGCCGGAUCAGGUGCUGCAUGGCUGUCGUCAGCUCGUGUCGUGAGAUGUUGGGUUAAGUCCCGCAACGAGCGCAACCCCCGCCUUUAGUUGCUACCAUUCAGUUGAGCACUCUAAAGGGACCGCCGGCGUUAAGCCGGAGGAAGGUGGGGAUGACGUCAAGUCCUCAUGGCCCUUAUGUCCAGGGCUACACACACGCUACAAUGGUCGGUACAAUGGGUUGCUAAGCCGCGAGGUGGAGCCAAUCCCCCAAAGCCGGCCUCAGUUCAGAUUGCAGGCUGCAACUCGCCUGCAUGAAGCUGGAGUUGCUAGUAAACGCGCGUCAGCUAUAGUGCGUUGAAUACGUUCUCGGGCCUU
rnacentral:rRNA from 1 species